rnacentral:rRNA from 1 species
GACGAACGCUGGCGGCGUGCUUAACACAUGCAAGUCGAACGGAAAGGCCCUGCUUUUGCGGGGUGCUCGAGUGGCGCACGGGUGUGUAACACGUGAGUAUCCUGCCCUUGACUUUGGGAUAACUUCAGGAAACUGGGGCUAAUACCGGAUAGGAGCUCCUGCUGCAUGGUGGGGGUUGGAAAGUUUCGGAGGUUGGGGAUGGACUCGCGGCUUAACAGCUUGUUGGUGGGGUAGUGGCUUACCAUGGCUUUGACGGGUAGCCGACCUGGGAGGGUGGACAGGGACAAGGGGACUGAGGGACGGCGCAGAGGGGAACGGGAGGCAACGGGGGGAAGCAUUACACAGUGGGGGCGAGCGUGUGACGACGGUCUUCGGAUCGUAAAGACGUCCUACUGGGUGGGAACCGCUGUCGCCUGAGACGAAGCGGGAGUGACGGUAAUGAGUAAAGAAGCACCGGCUAACUACGUG